rnacentral:rRNA from 1 species
UACGUAGGGUGCAAGCGUUAAUCGGAAUUACUGGGCGUAAAGCGUGCGCAGGCGGUUUUGUAAGUCUGACGUGAAAUCCCCCGGGCUCAACCUGGGAAUUGCGUUGGAGACUGCAAGGCUGGAGUCUGGCAGAGGGGGGUAGAAUUCCACGUGUAGCAGUGAAAUGCGUAGAGAUGUGGAGGAACACCGAUGGCGAAGGCAGCCCCCUGGGUCAAGACUGACGCUCAUGCACGAAAGCGUGGGGAGCAAACGAGG